UACGUAGGGUGCAAGCGUUAUCCGGAAUUAUUGGGCGUAAAGAGCUCGUAGGCGGUUUGUCGCGUCUGCUGUGAAAACUGGAGGCUCAACCUCCAGCCUGCAGUGGGUACGGGCAAACUAGAGUGCGGUAGGGGAGAUUGGAAUUCCUGGUGUAGCGGUGGAAUGCGCAGAUAUCAGGAGGAACACCGAUGGCGAAGGCAGGUCACUGGGCCGCAACUGACGCUGAGGAGCGAAAGCAUGGGGAGCGAACAGG
rnacentral:rRNA from 1 species